rnacentral:tRNA from 84 species
UGGGGUAUCGCCAAGCGGUAAGGCACCGGAUUCUGAUUCCGGCAUUCCGAGGUUCGAAUCCUCGUAC